rnacentral:rRNA from 1 species
UACGUAGGGUGCAAGCGUUUAAUCGGAAUUACUGGGCGUAAAGCGUGCGCAGGCGGUUUUGUAAGUCUGUCGUGAAAUCCCCGGGCUCAACCUGGGAAUUGCGAUGGAGACUGCAAGGCUAGAAUCUGGCAGAGGGGGGGUAGAAUUCCACGUGUAGCAGUGAAAUGCGUAGAGAUGUGGAGGAACACCGAUGGCGAAGGCAGCCCCCCUGGGUCAAGAUUGACGCUCAUGCACGAAAGGCGUGGGGAGCAAACAGG